rnacentral:rRNA from 1 species
UACGAAGGGGGCUAGCGUUGCUCGGAAUUACUGGGCGUAAAGGGCGCGUAGGCGGAUAGUUCAGUCAGAGGUGAGAGCCCAGGGCUCAACCUUGGAAUUGCCUUUGAUACUGGCUGUCUUGAGUAUGGGAGAGGUUAGCGGAACUCCGAGUGUAGAGGUGAAAUUCGUAGAUAUUCGGAAGAACACCAGUGGCGAAGGCGGCUAACUGGCCCAUUACUGACGCUGAGGCUCGAAAGCGUGGGGAGCAAACAGG